rnacentral:rRNA from 1 species
GGAUUAGAUACCCUGGUAGUCCACGCCGUAAACGAUGGAUACUAGCUGUUUAUUUGUAAAGAAUAAGUGGCCAAGCGAAAGUGAUAAGUAUCCCACCUGGGGAGUACGUUCGCAAGAAUGAAACUCAAAGGAAUUGACGGGGGCCCGCACAAGCGGUGGAGCAUGUGGUUUAAUUCGAUGAUACGCGAGGAACCUUACCAAGGCUUAAAUGCAAGACGCAUAUUGUGGAGACACGAUAGUCUUAUAGACGGCUUGCAAGGUGCUGCAUGGUUGUCGUCAGCUCGUGCCG